rnacentral:misc_RNA from 1 species
UAAGUGAGAAAUUUCAGCUUUACUGGG